rnacentral:rRNA from 2 species
UACGUAGGUGGCGAGCGUUGUCCGGAAUUACUGGGUGUAAAGCGCGUGUAGGCGGGAGGCCAAGUCUGUGGUGAAAUCGCCUGGCUUAACUGGGCGGGGUCCAUGGAAACUGGUCACCUGGAGGUCGGUAGAGGCAAGUGGAAUUCCCGGUGUAGUGGUGAAAUGCGUAGAGAUCGGGAGGAACACCAGUGGCGAAGGCGGCUUGCUGGGCCGGACCUGACGCUGAGACGCGAAGGCGUGGGGAGCGAACGGG